rnacentral:rRNA from 1 species
GAUGAACGCUGGCGGCGUGCUUAACACAUGCAAGUCGAACGGACAGACGCGGAGCUUGUUCGUCUGUCGUUAGCGGCGGACGGGUGAGUAACACGAGGAUAAUCUACCUAUAAGUCUGGGAUAACUUCGGGAAACCGGAGCUAAUACCGGAUAAUAUACUGAACCGCAUGGUUGAUUGGUGAAAGACGGUUUUUGUGUCAGUUAUAGAUGGAUCCGCGCCGCAUUAGCUAGUUGGUAAGGUAACGGCGUACCAAGGCGACGAUGCGUAGCCGACCUGAGAGGGGGGUCGGCGGCCCUAGAGGGGAGACGGGGUCCAGACGACUACGAGAGGCAGCAGAAGGGAAUCUUACGCAACGGGGGGAAGCAUGACGGAGCAGCGGCGCGUGAGUGACGAAGGUGUUCGGAGCGUAAAGCUCUGUUAUUGGGGGAGAACAAAUGUGGAAGUAACUGUGCACGGCUUGACGGUACCUGGUCAAGAAGCCACGGCUAACUACGUG